ACGUAGGUGGCGAGCGUUAUCCGGAAUUACUGGGCGUAAAGCGCACGCAGGCGGUCUUUUGGGUCUGACGUGAAAGCUCCUGGCUUAACUGGGAGAGGUCGUUGGAAACUGGGAGACUUGAGGCAAUGAGAGGGGUGUGGAAUUCCCGGUGUAGUGGUGGAAUGCGUAGAGAUCGGGAGGAACACCAGUGGCGAAAGCGGCACCCUGGCAUUGGCCUGACGCUGAGGUGCGAAAGCGUGGGGAGCAAACGG
rnacentral:rRNA from 1 species